rnacentral:rRNA from 1 species
AUUGAACGCUGGCGGCAUGCUUUACACAUGCAAGUCGAACGGUAACAGGUUAAGCUGACGAGUGGCGAACGGGUGAGUAAUGCAUCGGAACGUGCCCGGUCGUGGGGGAUAACGCAGCGAAAGCUGCGCUAAUACCGCAUACGAUCCGAGGAUGAAAGCGGGGGACCGUAAGGCCUCGCGCGAUCGGAGCGGCCGAUGUCAGAUUAGGUAGUUGGUGGGGUAAAGGCUCACCAAGCCAACGAUCUGUAGCUGGUCUGAGAGGACGACCAGCCACAAUGGGACUGAGAAACGGCCCAGACUCCUACGGGGGGCAGCAGUGGGGAAUUUUGGACAAUGGGCGAAAGCCUGAUCCAGCAAUGCCGCGUGCAGGAAGAAGGCCUUCGGGUUGUAAACUGCUUUUGUACGGAGCGAAAAGGCCUCCUCUAAUACAGGGGGCUCAUGACGGUACCGUAAGAAUAAGCACCGGCUAACUACGUGCCAGCCGCCGCCGCAG